rnacentral:rRNA from 1 species
GUCCAGCAGCCGCGGUAAUACCGGCAGCUCGAGUGAUGUCCAAUAUUAUUGGGCCUAAAGCGUCCGUAGCUGGCCGCGCAAGUCCGUCGGGAAAUCCACCUGCCCAACAGGUGGGCGUCCGGCGGAAACUGUGUGGCUUGGAACCGGAAGGCUCAGAGGGUAUGUCCGGGGUAGGAGUGAAAUCCCGUAAUCCCGGACGGACUACCGAUGGCGAAAGCACUCUGAGAAGACGGCUUCGACAGUGAGGGACGAAAGCUCGGGUCUCAAACCGGGUUAGAAACCCUGGUAGUCC